rnacentral:lncRNA from 1 species
UUCCCAGGUGCAGUUUUAUCAGAGGUGGUGCUUGAUCCUCCUUAGCAAAAGCACACCUCCUGUGGUCCUGGAUUAUAGCAGACUCACUGCUACCUUUAAAGCAGGUUUCUAUGACCACUUAUCCCAAAUUAUGGCUUGUUAUGGGCAGUCUGGCAGAGCCUGGGGAAGAGGGCAGACCAGUCUGUGCAGGACCAUGCUCUGACCUGUGGGAUGGGCUCUCCCUGGAGAUGGGGCCUCCAGAUCCAGCCUUUCACUGCACCACUCUUCUCUGUGCACGCCUUCAGGGACACAGGGCACAACAAAGGAAAUUAAGGCCUUAA